UACGGAGGGGGCUAGCGUUGUUCGGAAUUACUGGGCGUAAAGCGCACGUAGGCGGCUUUGUAAGUCAGGGGUGAAAGCCUGGAGCUCAACUCCAGAACUGCCUUUGAGACUGCAUCGCUUGAAUCCGGGAGAGGUGAGUGGAAUUCCGAGUGUAGAGGUGAAAUUCGUAGAUAUUCGGAAGAACACCAGUGGCGAAGGCGGCUCACUGGACCGGGAUUGACGCUGAGGUGCGAAAGCGUGGGGAGCAAACAGG
rnacentral:rRNA from 1 species